rnacentral:rRNA from 1 species
CCUACGGGGUGCUGCAGUGGGGAAUAUUGGACAAUGGGCGAAAGCCUGAUCCAGCCAUGCCGCGUGUGUGAAGAAGGCCUUCGGGUUGUAAAGCACUUUCAGUGGGGAAGAAAGCCUUGGGGCUAAUACCCUCGAGGAAGGACAUCACCCACAGAAGAAGCACCGGCUAACUCCGUGCCAGCAGCCGCGGUAAUACGGAGGGUGCGAGCGUUAAUCGGAAUUACUGGGCGUAAAGCGCGCGUAGGCGGUCUGAUAAGCCGGUUGUGAAAGCCCCGGGCUCAACCUGGGAACGGCAUCCGGAACUGUCAGGCUAGAGUACAGGAGAGGAAGGUAGAAUUCCCGGUGUAGCGGUGAAAUGCGUAGAGAUCGGGAGGAAUACCAGUGGCGAAGGCGGCCUUCUGGACUGACACUGACGCGGAGGUGCGAAAGCGUGGGUAGCAAACAGGAUUAGAUACCCGAGUAGUC